GGAAAUCAGGAAAUGUUUGUUCCUGUGCCUGUACCUAGUCGGGAAUAUUACAUUUGUUUUCCAUUCGUUUGAUAUAAUUGAUCUUUUGGUUUUGACAUUUAAUAAACAAAUUUCCGAUUUCCUUUAAGUAUUUUAUUUAUCAGCCUGUCAGUAAUUGAAGAACAUAAAGUUGAAAAAAUUCAAUGUCGUUCUGUAUAAAUCCUUGCACAAGCCCACAAUUUUUGAUUUUUUUUCUAGUAAAUAUCUGUACUACUAUGAAAUUUAAAGCUACUUUAUAUCUAAGUUUAAUAAUAAUUAAAUAGAUAACACCAUUCCGAUAGCACGCCUAACAUAAAGGUUGAAAAGGAUAAACAACUACUCUCUUUUUUUUUAAAUAUAAUGUGUAUGUGUUUAGU
rnacentral:lncRNA from 1 species